rnacentral:tRNA from 1 species
UGGGUUAUAGCUUAUAAAGCAUCUCACUUACGUUGAGAAGAACAUUAAUGGAGUGUUAAUGUAAUCCAA